rnacentral:rRNA from 1 species
UACGUAGGGGGCAAGCGUUGUCCGGAAUUAUUGGGCGUAAAGAGCGUGUAGGCGGUUUGAUAAGUCUGCUGUAAAAGUCAGGGGCUCAACCCUUGAAAGCCGGUAGAUACUGUCAAGCUAGAGUACGGAAGAGGCGAGUGGAAUUCCUGGUGUAGCGGUGGAAUGCGCAGAUAUCAGGAGGAACACCAAUUGCGAAGGCAGCUCGCUGGGACGUUACUGACGCUGAGACGCGAAAGCGUGGGGAGCAAACAGG